rnacentral:rRNA from 1 species
AAGAACAAAUGUGUAAGUAACUGUGCACAUCUUGACGGUACCUAAUCAGAAAGCCACGGCUAACUACGUGCCAGCAGCCGCGGUAAUACGUAGGUGGCAAGCGUUAUCCGGAAUUAUUGGGCGUAAAGCGCGCGUAGGCGGUUUCUUAAGUCUGAUGUGAAAGCCCACGGCUCAACCGUGGAGGGUCAUUGGAAACUGGGAAACUUGAGUGCAGAAGAGGAAAGUGGAAUUCCAUGUGUAGCGGUGAAAUGCGCAGAGAUAUGGAGGAACACCAGUGGCGAAGGCGACUUUCUGGUCUGUAACUGACGCUGAUGUGCGAAAGCGUGGGGAUCAAACAGGAUUAGAUACCCUGGUAGUCCACGCCGUAAACGAUGAGUGCUAAGUGUUAGGGGGUUUCCGCCCCUUAGUGCUGCAGCUAACGCAUAAGCACUC